UUAACUCAAAUUUGUAUGGAGUUGGAACGUUUGCCUACGUUUGCCGCUAGGGGCGCUUAUUCAACUGCAUAAUACUACUUUGAGUUG
rnacentral:pre_miRNA from 1 species